GGUAACAUCAUAGUGACAAUGGGGUGUCAAACUAAGGUCACUUGUUUUCACCCUCUAACACUACAAGAAAAUCUCUGAUUAGCUACGAAUAAAACCGUAGCGAAUUUGAAGUGAAUCUCUAUCAAACAGAUUUAGUUGGAGAUUAGUUGCGGAUUAACCACGAUAUAUGCCGUAGCUUGGAUUGGGUGGCUAAUUAGCUAGUCCAUAUUUUUCUAGCAAAAUUCAAACUAAUAUUUUACCAUUCCUAGCUAAACCAAUCCUAAAACGUAGCAAUUUUCACUUUUAUAUCUAUGUUUCCAAACUAUUCAGCUACAAUAUCGCCACAAAAAUAUCAAGUAAAUCUCAAGGUAAAGUAGGCUUCUAUAUGAACUGGAGCUAAAGGUUGGAUCUAAAAUAUAUAGUAACAUCAACAAAACAAUUAUUCAAAAAGAAACUUUAUCACAAACGGUUGUAACAAUAGCCAGUAUAUUUGUUUUCUGUCUCAAAAACUUGACAAAUAUAUGCAUAGUUUAAAUGUGCAUAAAUGAAGGUUCUGUCUUGGAGCAAAAGGUGUUUUUCACAAAAGGUUAACUUAUCCAAAAAUAAAUAUAUGAAGAAUUUAUGCUUCUAUAUGUUCAUGUUCAUCUCCACAAAUAUCAGUUAUUUCAUCUAAUUGUCUAAAUCAAGGAUAGUAAGUUAACUAAAACCAAUUAUCAGUCAUUCAUAUACAGACCUGUACUCGUGCGUAGCUUCAAAGUUAUUUGAUCUCGUGCCUUGGCUGAGGAAGUCUAACUCAACCUAUCCUGCAAAGAAUGUCUUAAAGCACCUGUAGAAAAUAAAACAAAGCAUAUGAACACAGACGCAAUUAAUCAAUCCAGAAAAAAAUAGCAAAAAUGCACAAAUCAGCCACUUUGAUCUGUGUGAAUUGGAAAAGAUUUAACUAACUUGCUAAGAUUUAUUGUCAAUCUGCAAUAUAAUAGAUUUGCUGCUCAAAGAAGUAUCUCAUUGCAGAUCAAUGCAAAUUGGAGCUUUGGUAGCUCCAUUUCCACCCGUAGGCUAAAAGAAAACAAACAUUCACCGUCACUUUCAAUUUGAAUUUCACUUCAUCUUUAGAAUUGAGGUUAUAGAGUUUCAAAACCUAACUUACCAAAAUUGGAUGUCCAAUUAAACUGUUAAAAACCGGUGAUUUACCAACACCAUACAAACUCGAAAUCAAAAUUGAAAUCGCAAAUAUAAUAAAUUAGAAACUAUGAUGAUGGAGGAAUGAAAUGGAGAAGACUUACAACGUUUCCGAGAGCAACGGCGUUGAGGAAAGUUGAAGAUCUUUGGGAAUUGGUUGUGUCAUCGAUAUCUUCGUCGACGCUUUGGAAUCAUCCUCUAUUGCCGCCAUAGAUGAUGAAAAUCAACGGAUCCAAAACCGAAAUAGAGAGAGAAAUUUUUAAUACUCGAAAGAGUCUGCGUGUAUGUGCCUGAAAAAUAGGGAUCGAUCGAAACCGAACCCUAAACCAGACCCUAAGCUACGAUCUGAAACCAGAAACUCUGAUUUUCUAUCGCUAAAGAAUUAAGAAAUGAAGGACUUAGCUAAUCUAAAACAUGGAACAAAGAAAACCUCAAUUGGCGUAGCUUGAAGGAGAAGCAUAUCAUAGAUUCGUGUUGAUUAAUGCAGAGUCGCAGCUAGUAGCAACAAUAUCUUAGAGUCCCAAUGGUGUUGCACCAAGUUGCCACGGUGGCGCAACGAACACGCAAUGAAACACAACCGUGGGGUACUGAAACGCCACGGUGGCGCAACGAGACGCACUAGUGGGGGUCAGAGUAGAGGGUGGAUCGAAAGCAAGGAGAGCGAGAGGAAAAAAUGAUUAUGUUUUUAAGUAAAAAUAUUUUUUUAUUAAAUU
rnacentral:lncRNA from 1 species